UACGAAGGGGGCUAGCGUUGCUCGGAUUUACUGGGCGUAAAGGGCGCGUAGGCGGAUGUUUAAGUUGGGGGUGAAAGCCCGGGGCUCAACCUCGGAAUAGCCUUCAAUACUGGACAUCUUGAGUACGGGAGAGGUGAGUGGAACUCCGAGUGUAGAGGUGAAAUUCGUAGAUAUUCGGAAGAACACCAGUGGCGAAGGAGACUCACUGGCCCGUUACUGACGCUGAGGCGCGAAAGCGUGGGGAGCAAACAGG
rnacentral:rRNA from 1 species